UUUGCCCUAUGGGGGGCAGCAGUGAGGAAUAUUGGUCAAUGGACGAGAGUCUGAACCAGCCAAGUAGCGUGAAGGAUGACUGCCCUAUGGGUUGUAAACUUCUUUUAUAAAGGAAUAAAACGAGGCACGUGUGCCUUUUUGCAUGUACUUUAUGAAUAAGGAUCGGCUAACUCCGUGCCAGCAGCCGCGGUAAUACGGAGGAUCCGAGCGUUAUCCGGAUUUAUUGGGUUUAAAGGGAGCGUAGGUGGAUUGUUAAGUCAGUUGUGAAAGUUUGCGGCUCAACCGUAAAAUUGCAGUUGAAACUG
rnacentral:rRNA from 1 species